rnacentral:rRNA from 1 species
UUAUCAGAGAGUUUGAUCCUGGCUCAGGAUGAACGCUGGCGGCGUGCUUAACACAUGCAAGUCGAACGGAGAAUACUUUGACGGAGACUUCGGUUGAAGUCGUUGUAUUCUUAGUGGCGGACGGGUGAGUAACGCGUGGGUAACCUGCCUCAUACUGGGGGAUAACAGCCAGAAAUGGCUGCUAAUACCGCAUAAGCGCACGGGAGCGCAUGCUCCUGUGUGAAAAACUCCGGUGGUAUGGGAUGGACCCGCGUUGGAUUAGCUAGUUGGCAGGGUAAUGGCCUACCAAGGCGACGAUCCAUAGCCGGCCUGAGAGGGUGAACGGCCACAU